rnacentral:rRNA from 1 species
UCCUCGGAGUGUAAACUACUGUCAGAGACUAGGAACUCAAUGACCAAUCUCAAAGGAAGGGCCGGCUAACUUCGUGCCAGCAGCCGCGGUAAUACGAAGGGCCCGAGCGUUAUUCGGAAUCACUGGGCUUAAAGCGUGCGUAGGCGGACUUGUAGGCGUUUUGUGAAAUCCCUCGGCUCAACCGAGGAACUGCAGAGCGAACCCCAAGUCUUGAGACAGAUAGAGGUUGUCGGAACGAUUGGUGGAGUGGUGAAAUGCGUUGAUAUCAAUCGGAACGCCAAAUGAGAAGUCAGGCAACUGGAUCUGUUCUGACGCUGAGGCACGAAAGCGUGGGUAGCGAACGGGAUUAGAUACCCCGGUAGUCCACGCCGUAAACAAUGUGCACUAGGUCGAGGGCGUUCUGACGCGACUCUCGGCCGAAGCGAAAGUGUUAAGUGCACCGCCUGGGGAGUACGGUCGCAAGGCUAAAACUCAAAGGAAUUGACGGGGGCUCACACAAGCGGUGGAGCAUGUGGCUUAAUUCGAAGCAACGCGAAGAACCUUAUCCUAGGUUUGACAUACACGGAUUAGCUAUAAGAAACUAUAGUGACACCUUCGGGUGGAACGUGAACAGGUGCUGCAUGGCUGUCGUCAGCUCGUGCUGUGAAGUGUCGGGUUAAGUCCCUUAACGAGCGCAACCCUUAUCGUUAGUUGCUAACAGGUAAUGCUGA